rnacentral:lncRNA from 1 species
GGGCUCCUUGUCUGGGGAAAUACGUGGUAAUGUGCCUUUUGCUUAUGCACAGAUGCAGCCAAAUUUCUGUUCUGGAAUUGAAAAUAAGGAAGGUCGCAGCUCUGCGUGACAAUGGAAAAGUUUGCCUUGUUGGUCAGCGGAUCUCUACCUAAGGGCAACUGUGAGUCCCGGGGGGCAGCUGCCAGGCAGGAUCACCUUCCUCAGCAGAGGGAGGGAUCUGCUCACCCCGCCGUGGACUGUUUCCCCAGUCCCUGCCACUCGGCGCUGAGGACUGACGGCAGUGGUGCAUUCGGAGCCCCACAGAAGCCCCUGCUCACAGCACUGUGCUGUCCUCAGACCCCAGGAGGGGAAGCCGCUGUGAGGCUGUGAGGAGCAGCGUCCUGGAGUCUCCCUGGGGUCCCACGGUCUUCGCUGCGGCCGCCCUGGGGCCUCUGACCAGCUACUCCUCCUCACACUGGUUCCCAGAGCCAGGGCUGGCGGUGCCAGGCCUGCCCAGAGCCUGACUGAGGUCUGGAACCCUCCCUGCCUCCCGCUGGGGGCCCAGCCCUCCUCCUGCAGAGCCACAGCUGACCAGGAAGAGAAGGUACUGCCCAGCGAGGACCAGCUGCUGUGGAGGCCGCCGGGCGCACCAGGCUCUGGGCUGCUGGGCUGCUGGGAGCGCUGCUGGGAGGUGAUGGGCAGGAGGAGCCACCUGUCCCUGCUCUCUGCUCACCAGUGUGGAGUCCCAUUUCGGGGAGGGCACCUGGCCUCGGACAGCACCGUCCCCAACACAGCCCCACUGUCUCUGAGGCCACGGGACACAGCCUGCCCCGGUGACUGGCGCUGCCCACAGCUCUGGCCGGCACCACAGUGACCUCUCAGAAGAACAAAUUUUCCUUUCCCUCAGUAAAUCACAUUCCUCUUGUGCCCUC